AACCCGUCUUGAAACACGGACCAAGGAGUUCAACAUGCGCGCUAGUUGUUGGGAGUUUAUACCCGCAAGCGUAGUGAAAGCAAGUCACGGCUCUGCCGUGUAUUUGGCGAGAUCCGGUAGCGUGCAGGCAACUGUGCGCCCGGCGCACCGCCGGCUCAUCACAUGCUCACGUGGCAGUGGUGAAGCUUGAGCGCGCGCGUUGAGACCCGAAAGAUGGUGAACUAUGCCUGGACAGGAUGAAGCCAGGGGAAACUCUGGUGGAGGUCCGUAGCGAUUCUGACGUGCAAAUCGAUCGUCUGAUCUGGGUAUAGGGGCGAAAGACUAAUCGAACCAUCUAGUAGCUGGUUCCCUCCGAAGUUUCCCUCAGGAUAGCUGGCGCUCGGAGAACGUAGUCUCUCCCGAUAAAGCGAAUGAUUAGAAGUCUUGGGGUCGAAACGACCUCAACUUAUUCUCAAACUUUGAAUGGGUGAGAAGUCUGGCUUGCUUAAAUGCGAAGCUGAAGUCCGGACGUUGGAUACGANNNNNNNNNNNNNNNNNNNNNGUAAGCAGAACUGGCGCUGUGGGAUGAACCGAACGUCGAGUUAUGGCGCCCGACGAGACGCUCAUGAGAUCCCAGAAAAGGUGUUGGUUGCUAUAGACAGCAGGACGGUGGCCAUGGAAGUCGGAAUCCGCUAAGGAGUGUGUAACAACUCACCUGCCGAAGCAACUAGCCCUGAAAAUGGAUGGCGCUAGAGCGUCUGGCCUAUACUCGACCGUUGCAGCAGCAGCAACAAGUCACGCUGCAACGAGUAGGAGGGUCGCCGCGGUGGCGUCGAAAGCUUACGAGCGUGAGCUCGGCUGGAGCCGCCGUGGGUGCAGAUCUUGGUGGUAGUAGCAAAUACACAAGCGAGAACCUUGUGGACUGAAGUGGGGAAGGGUUCCAUGUGAACAGCAGUUGAACAUGGGUCAGUCGAUCCUAAGGCAUCGGCGAAAGCCGUUCAGAAGCGGUGUGGAAGGCUGCCCUCGUGGUAGCGGGUCUGUGUUGUGCUUUCGGGUGUUUCACACGAUCACUGCACCUGCCGAAAGGGAAUCGGGUUAAUAUUCCCGAACUCGGCAUCGGAUAUUGUCGGGAGGGUGUUAAAGCCCGAGUCGAACGUGCGGUAACGCAAGUGAACUCGGAGACGCUGACACGUGUCCUGGGAAGAGUUGUCUUUUCUUCAUAAGGCGCAGGCUCCCUGGAAUCGAAUCACUCGGCGAUAGGGAGAUGGCGUCCGUAGAGCACUUCGGUUCUUGGAGUGUCCGGUGCGCACGUGUCGGUCCUUGAAAAGCCGAGGGAGAGUGUAAUUUUCGUGCCGAAUCGUACCCAUAUCCGCAGCAGUCUCC
rnacentral:rRNA from 1 species